AGGCUAAGUUUCAAUUACUCCACGUCACACCCCAAUGCGCGACUAUCCUCAAAUGCAUCGAGCUUUCCCAAGAAUUUAAUACGGAACCAAUAGUUGGCUUACAGUUCUAUCCAGACCUAUUCACGCUGAACAUGUCCUACGGGUCGGUGGACGCACGUCGGGUCACGUUCAAUAUGAAGUACAAACUUGUUGAGACUGUGUUCGACAUGUUGCAGGAGUUGAAACUGUGUAGCUAUUCUUGAAAUAUACAUACCUACUCAAAUUAUGAA
rnacentral:misc_RNA from 1 species